UACGGAGGAUGCGAGCGUUAUCCGGAUUUAUUGGGUUUAAAGGGUGCGUAGGCGGAGUGCCAAGUCAGCGGUAAAAAUUCGGGGCUCAACCCCGUCGUGCCGUUGAAACUGGCGCCCUUGAGUGGGCGAGAAGUAUGCGGAAUGCGUGGUGUAGCGGUGAAAUGCAUAGAUAUCACGCAGAACCCCGAUUGCGAAGGCAGCAUACCGGCGCCCGACUGACGCUGAAGCACGAAAGCGUGGGUACCGAACAGG
rnacentral:rRNA from 1 species